CAAAAAAAGAAACGACUCAAUUACCUUGGGACAGAGGGAGUAUAUACUUUUGGCACGUGGCACUGAGUAUACCAAGUACUCCGAUUGCAUGUUUAAUUUCAAAAUAUGCAGGUUGAACGUGGACGAAAAUGAGUGGUGUUGAGUAGAAACGUUUACUCAGUCAGAGACACUGUGAUGAUGUACGUGGAGUAUAAGACGUUUGAUGAUAAAACAGAUUACGGCUAUGAUCGGGUGACAACUCCUGCCCCACCCAGUGACCCAGAGAAUGCUCUCAUUUUUUAGGUGUUAUUGACUGGGAAGGAGCUAGUUCUCCGCCGGAUCUCCGGCGUCGACCAUUGUCAUGUUAAAUCUGCAACAAGCCAACAAUUGGUUUGUUUCAUGUGAGCGUUCUUGAUGAAAUGCAUGCUGUGCUAAUACAACGUGUUUUCCCUUCUAAUGGAUUCCAUAUUUGCGCGAUAGUAUGUAUCUAAGCUUCUCAUAUUCUCUCAGUAUCCAUUAAACAGAUAGCCAUUGAUCCACAAAGUUGGAAAAUGCAAGAAAAAAGAUAGUACAAGAUUUUGAUGGGAAUUUAUUAAAGAUUCAAGAAAAUGAUAAUUUAGUUA